rnacentral:rRNA from 1 species
AGGCAGCAGUGGGGAAUAUUGCACAAUGGGGGAAACCCUGAUGCAGCCAUGCCGCGUGUGUGAAGAAGGCCUUCGGGUUGUAAAGCACUUUCAGUAGGGAGGAAGGUAGUGUAGUUAACACCUGCACUAUUUGACGUUACCUACAGAAGAAGCACCGGCUAACUCCGUGCCAGCAGCCGCGGUAAUACGGAGGGUGCGAGCGUUAAUCGGAAUUACUGGGCGUAAAGCGCAUGCAGGCGGCCUGUUAAGUCAGAUGUGAAAGCCCGGGGCUUAACCUCGGAAUUGCAUUUGAAACUGGCAGGCUAGAGUCUUGUAGAGGGGGGUAGGAAUUUCAGGUGUAGCGGUGAAAUGCGUAGAGAUCUGAAGGAAUACCAGUGGCGAAGGCGGCCCCCUCGGACAAAGACUGACGCUCAGAUGCGAAAGCGUGGGGAGCAAACAGGAUUAGAUACCCUGGUAG